rnacentral:rRNA from 1 species
GAUGAACGCUGGCUACAGGCUUAACACAUGCAAGUCGAGGGGAAACGCCGGGGAAGCUUGCUUCCCCGGGCGUCGACCGGCGCACGGGUGAGUAACGCGUAUCCAACCUGCCUCUGACUGAGGGAUAACCCGCCGAAAGUCGGCCUAAUACCUCAUGGUAUCGUCUGCGGGCAUCCAACGACGAUUAAAGAUUUCAUCGGUCAGGGAUGGGGAUGCGUCUGAUUAGCUUGUUGGCGGGGUACCGGCCCACCAAGGCUACGAUCAGUAGGGGUUCUGAGAGGAGGGGCCCCCACAGGGGAACUGGGACACGGUCCAAACUCCUACGGGAGGCAGCAGUGAGGGAUAUUGGACAGUGGACGAGAGCCUGAACCGGCCAAGUAGGGUGCAGGAAGACGGCCCUAUGGGUUGUAAACUGCUUUUAUGCGGGGAUAAAGUGAGGGACGUGUCCCUCAUUGCAGGUACCGCAUGAAUAAGGACCGGCUAAUUCCGUG